GCAAACAAGAUGCCAGAAGAAUGGAGAUGGAGUAUAUUAGUAUCAAUCUUCAAGAACAAGGGGGAUGUUCAGAGUUGUACUAAUUACCGUGGAAUAAAGCUGAUGAGCCAUACAAUGAAGCUAUGGGAGAGAGUCAUUGAGCACCGCUUAAGAAGAAUGACAAGCGUGACCAAAACUCAGUUUGGUUUCAUGCCUGGGAGGUCGACCAUGGAAGCCAUUUUCUUGGUACGACAACUUAUGGAGAGAUAUAGGGAGCAAAAGAAGGACUUGCAUAUGGUGUUCAUUGACUUGGAGAAGGCCUAUGAUAAG
rnacentral:rRNA from 1 species